CGAACGGCUGGCGGCGUGCCUAACACAUGCAAGCCGUGCGAGAAAGUCCUUCGGGAGCGAGUAAAGCGGCGCACGGGUGAGUAACACGUAGGUAACCUGCCCCCCAGUCUGGAACAACUAGAGGAAACUCUAGCUAAUGCCGGAUGAGACCACGAUCCCUUCGGGGGUUGCGGCCAAAGAUGGCCUCUACUUGUAAGCUAUCGCUGAGGGAUGGGCCUGCGGGCCAUUAGCUUGUUGGUGAGGUAACGGCUCACCAAGGCUGUGAUGGCUAGCUGGUCUGAGAGGAUGACCAGCCACACUGGGACUGAGACACGGCCCAGACUCCUACGGGAGGCAGCAGUGGGGAAUAUUGCGCAAUGGGCGAAAGCCUGACGCAGCGACGCCGCGUGGGUGAUGAAGGCCUUCGGGUCGUAAAGCCCUGUCGCAGGGGAAGAAUAAGCAUCGGUAUAAUACGCCGGUGCCCUGACGGUACCCUGCAAGAAAGCACCGGCUAACUCCGUG
rnacentral:rRNA from 1 species